rnacentral:rRNA from 1 species
UGGGGGAUAUUGCACAAUGGGCGAAAGCCUGAUGCAGCGACGCCGCGUGGGGGAUGAAGGCUUUCGGGUUGUAAACCUCUUUCGCUAUCGAACAAGGCCCGCUUAGGGUGGGUUGAGGGUAGGUGGAGAAGAAGCGCCGGCUAACUACGUGCCAGCAGCCGCGGUAAUACGUAGGGCGCGAGCGUUGUCCGGAAUUAUUGGGCGUAAAGGGCUUGUAGGCGGCUUGUUGCGCCUGCUGUGAAAACGCGGGGCUUAACUUCGCGCGUGCAGUGGGUACGGGCAGGCUUGAGUGUGGUAGGGAUGACUGGAAUUCCAGGUGUAGCGGUGGAAUGCGCAGAUAUCUGGAGGAACACCGAUGGCGAAGGCAGGUCACUGGGCCAUUACUGACGCUGAGGAGCGAAAGCAUGGGUAGCGAACAGG